UACCUCGUCCAUCGGAAGGAAACCCUUCCGCUGGACGAGGUACAUGUACGUUUCCUUCCGCUGGACGAGGUACGUGUACCUCGUCCAGCGGAAGGCAUGUACCUCAUCCAGCGCGGAAGGGUUUCCUUCCGAUGGACGAGGUA
rnacentral:miRNA from 1 species